rnacentral:lncRNA from 1 species
UGAUUGCCCUGCCAAUGCUGAGUUCUUGGAUGCAUACUAUGCCGGGGAGGAUGGUACUCCUGUUAAAAUAUCUAAUGCUUUAUGCAUAUUUGAGCAACAGUCUGGGAGUGUCAUGUGGCGUCACACUGAAUCAGCUAUUCCUGGAGAACUGGUAAGGCAUCAAAUUGAUUUUUAACUUCAAGUUGAACAAGUCCCUUCUUGUAUUUCUUGUAGUUGUUCAUUUAUUAUGGUUGAUUGUUAAUUAAACAUAUCAAUUGUCGCGUUACGUCAUGCCAUUAGCCGAUGCAACAUGCAUGGUUUGAAUGUGUGGUCCAUUCUAGCAUUUUCUUAACAACAUGUGGAGAAAAAAUUUGGGUGAAAACUUUUCCUACCACGUUGCAGGUUGGGUGACACUAGGGAUGGACAAUGGUUAUGGCGGACGGAUAACCGUGGUUAUUUACCCAUAACCGUUUAUGUUCAUACCCGCAUAACCGUUUACCCGUUGGGUAAUUGCAUAAAUGGUUAUACCCAUACCCAUAACCGUUUAUAAACGGUUAACCAUACCCAUGACCGUGUACCCAUUUAACCAUAACCGUUUACCCAUUUAAUCAUAACAAUUUACCCACUUUUGAACCCGUUUAUCCUUUUUUUACCCAUUUACCCAUUUUUUCACCCGUCUACAUGUUUUUUUUUUAACAACUUGAAAAUUACAAAAUAAAAAUUUGUCAUCAUUUUCGUUUUCUAACAAUUAAACACUGUUACAGGUACAUUUUAUCAUGCAUUUCCCUAUUUUAAUCAUUUAAGUCCUCGUACAAUUCCAAUAAUUGAAAUAAUAAAUUACAAACGAUAUUUUUCUGCUACACCCAAGCAAAUCUUUAAUUAUAGCAUUAAUACAUGAUCACCAUACUGAGGACGAGGAGCGAUUCGUUUGGAGGUUGUUUGGAAUUGGUCGCGAUUUGCAGUGUGACCAUAUGAGAGGGCAGAAUGAAAGAACGAAAGCG